rnacentral:rRNA from 1 species
AGAGUUUGAUCCUGGCUCAGAAUGAACGCUGGCGGCAUGGAUUAGGCAUGCAAGUCGAACGGAAACGAUGGUGCUUGCACCAGGCGUCGAGUGGCGAAAGGGUGAGUAACGCGUGAGCAACUUGCCCCAAGGUCGGGGAUAGCCCAUGGAAACGUGGAUUAAUACCGGAUGUGGCGGCCCUCUGCAGGGAGGGCUUGCUAAAGAUUUAUUGCCUUGGGAUGGGCUCGCGUCCGAUUAGUUUGUUGGUGAGGUAAUGGCUCACCAAGACGAUGACAGGUAGGUGGUCUGAGAGGACGAUCACCCACACUGGGACUGAGACACUGCCCAGACUCCUACGGGAGGCUGCAGUCGAGAAUCUUCCGCAAUGCGCGAAAGCGUGACGGAGCAAUGCCGCGUGAAGGAUGAAGGCCCUCGGGUCGUAAACUUCUGUCACUUGGGAUGAAGAUCUGACAGUACCAAGAGAGGAAGCCACGGCUAACUACGUGCCAGCAGCCGCGGUAAUACGUAGGUGGCGAGCGUUAUUCGGAUUUAUUGGGCGUAAAGGGUUCGUAGGGGGUUUGUUAAGUUUGAUGUGAAAGCCUAGGGCUCAACCCUGGAACUGCAUUGGAUACUGACGAACUAGAGGACUGGAGAGGAAAGUGGAAUUCCUGGUGUAGCGGUGGAAUGCGUAGAUAUCAGGAGGAACACCAAUAGCGAAGGCAGCUUUCUGGACAGUACCUGACCCUGAGGAACGAAAGCCGGGGGAGCAAACAGGAUUAGAUACCCUGGUAGUCCCGGCCGUAAACGUUGUGUACUCGGUGUGGGGAGGUUUGGUCCUCUCUGUGCCC